UUAAAUCUUAAAUCUUAAUUAAAUAUUAAUCAAUCUUAAUCAAAUCCUAGUUAAAUUCUAAAUCCUAAUCAAAUCUUAAUCAAAUCCUAAUCAAAUCCUAAACAAACUUUAAACAAAUUUUAAUCAAAUUUUAGUCAAAUCUUAGCCAAUUCUAGUCAAACCUUAAAAAAAUCCUAAUCAAAUCUUUGAUAAAUCUUGAAAAAUUCUAAUCAAAGACUAAUCAAAUUCUAAAUCUUAAUCAAAUUUUAAUCAAUCUUAAUCAAAUCUUAAUUAAAUCCUAAUCAAUUCUAAUUAAAUCCUAGCCAAAUCUUAAAUCCUAAUCAAACCUUCACUAAAUCCUAAACCAAUUUUAAUCAAAUUCUAGACAAAUCCUAAAUCUUAAUUAAAUUCUAAUUAAAUCCUAAUCAAAUCCUAAACC
rnacentral:lncRNA from 1 species